rnacentral:rRNA from 1 species
GCCUGCGGCAGUUUUGCUGUUAGGCAAUGUGGUGUGCGGGUCGGUUAGCGGGACCGUCACUCCACUCGAAGUCCAGCAUUGAGUAUGGUUAUCAUUGGAUUUGGCCCAUAGAGGGUGAGAGGCCCDUACGAGUGGAGGUUCAGAUAUGUGUGACGGUUCACUAGGCCGACCUCAGAGUCGGGUUGUUUGAGAUUGCAGCCCAAAGAGGGUGGUAAACUCCAUCCAAGGCUAAAUACUGACACGAGUCCGAUAGCGAACAAGUACCGUGAGGGAAAGUUGAAAAGUACUCUGAAGAGAGAGUAAACAGUACGUGAAGCCGCAUGCAGGUAAACGGGUGGCGUCAAGCUGCGAGCCCGGAGGAUUCAGCUGAUUAGGGUGUAGUGUACGUGCGCCUGGUGCGUCGAGAGACCAGAAUAAGAUGCAUUGCGGUCCAUUCCUCUGCUAGGAGUGGGGCACUAUUGGUGUGCAUGUGUUCUUCUUCGCGGGGACAUGUGUAUGCCGGUUGUUGCUAUGCAUGCCGGGUGGGUGCCGGAGCAUGCCGCUCAUCUGUUGGGUCACCUAGUCAGUGCAUUUUCUCCGUGGUGAACACCACGACCGGUGGAAUUGCCAGUCUACUGUGAUCAAGUCGUAUCCUUCUGAUUCUGUCCAUUCUUUCCAUUCUCUUUGUUUGUUCAUUCGUUCUCCCUUUCUUUCCUUAUUGCUACUGCUUCGCGGUGGUGGUAAUGACGGGCUGGGAAGGAUGGAUGGAUGAAUGGGUGGAGUGAAUAUGGGAGUGGAUGUGUAUAUUGGUUGGGUACGAUCGCAGAUAGAGUCGGUGGACGGCGCAGUAGUGUCUUGGCACCGCUGCGUGUUAUCGUACACUCUCUGUCGUAAACGAUUGAUGGAGUUGACUGAGUACUGUGACAACUUCUCCAUUGAUCGGCGGAUAGCAGUGGUAAAAAUGACUGUGCAAGGCACCGGAGUUAUCCACCUCGUUCAUUUAUUCUAUUGACUUUUUUGUCGAUGGAUGGAUGAAAAUAGUACCCGACACGCAUGUUACAGGUGCUAUGAAAUCAGGAUACGCCGCUGUCUGCCUGGUGUUGGGCCUGACUGUCGUGUUGCCUACGCAAAGUGGGUCCGGCGGUGGUUUCAGAUACUUGGCUGUAGCAGUGUGUAGCGUAUCUUGGGUGUGUGUGGUACUGUGAAGGUGAAAUAGUCAGUGGUGCUGUGGUAGACUAGCUACCCGACCCGUCUUGAAACACGGACCAAGGAGUUUAACAUGUGUGCGAGUCAAAGGGUCCUACGAAACCCCUAGGCGCAGUGAAAGUGAAGUUCAUGCUGUACUAUUGUACAUGCACAGUACAGUGUGGCGAGGUGAGAUCUCCUUGUGCUCAUGACACCACACGCCACAGACCUUACUGGGCAUUAUUGGGGCAAGGAGCGCAUCACCGGCCCGUCGCAUGUUGUGGUCAGAGGUGUACUUGUACGUGGAAGGGUGUCUAUGU